rnacentral:rRNA from 1 species
UACGAGGGGGGCGAGCGUUGUUCGGAAUUAUUGGGCGUAAAGGGCGCGUAGGCGGUGCGGUAAGUCUGUAGUGAAAUCUCUGGGCUCAACUCAGAGUCUGCUAUAGAAACUGCCGUGCUUGAGUGUGGGAGAGGUGAGUGGAAUUCACGGUGUAGCAGUGAAAUGCGUAGAUAUCGUGAGGAAUACCAAGUGCGAAGGCAGGACUCUGGACAUUUUCUGACGCUGAGACACGAAGGCUAGGGGAGCAAACGGG